rnacentral:ncRNA from 1 species
CCCGCUGAAUUUAAGCAUAUAAAUAAGCGGAGCUAAAAAAACCAACAGGGAUUCCCUUAGUAGCGGCGAGCGAACCGGGAUGAGGCCAGUGCCAAAUUCCACACUCUUUGGGUGUUGGAAAAUGUGGCGUAUAAGAGGUUGCAUUCCAGAGUUUGACUCUGCAGCAAGUCCCCAUGACCGAGGCUGUUACCCAGAGUGGGUGCGAGGCCUCUAGCUGCUAAGUCUGCUUCGGAUGCGAUCUCCUGGGAGUCAGGUUGCUUGAGAGUGCAACACUAAUCGGGUGGUUAACUCCACCUAAGGCUAAAUACUGCCGUGAGACCGAUAGCAAACAAGUACCGUGAGGGAAAGUUGCAAAGAACUUUGAAGAGAGAGUUCAAGAGUACAUGAAACUGCUCAGAUCAGAGGCCCUCGAAAUCCUGUGGCAGGAGGAUUCAGUUGGCUUUCUGUGGCAGCACUGCACUGACCGAUUGACCAAAACGGAUCCCAGAACUGGGCCAGAUCGGUUGUGCAGGUCGCGGUUCUCGACGCAUUUUCUCCCGCUCUGAGGAUGCCGUAGCUGGUUGAGAAGACUCGACAGACUAAAGGACUUAUGCUGGCAGGUAGCCGGUGGCAUGGCUUCGCCUGUGUCGUCGGUUGUUAGCCUAUUCGUCUGAACUCGUCGACUGACCGAGUUUUUUGUGGCCCGAAUGGACCCAAUUUUUGUCCGCCUCCUCUCUUUAGCAGGAGAGCCGUGAUUAGAACGUAGCAAGCUUUCGUAGAUGGUGUGGCCGCACUAUCUAACUGAGUGGGCCAGUGCAUUCGCGAUGUUGGUGAGCUACGUCGUGCCUGUGGGAGUGCUCACGGCGAGUAGAUUGGUCACCCACCCGACCUGUCUUGAAACACGG